rnacentral:lncRNA from 1 species
UCUGGACCAGGUCCAACUCCGGCCAGGAGGACUGCCGUCGCCGUCGUCGCCGGCCACCGUGUAGGUAAAAUUUUUUUUCUUUUUUUUUUAUUCUAAUAUAUAUACAUAUGCUGUUUUUUUUUUAAAAAGGGAAUAUAUGUAUAUGUAUUCGAAUGGAGGAAAUAAAGAGAAAAAUAAUAAGAGAAAUAGAAACCUUUGCACGAUGAAUUUUUUUUAUUAACUUGCUAUGUUCUUUCUUUGGAUCUGUCUUUUUUGUGUUUAAAUCUAUUUUUUUUAUUGAUGAUAGGUGGCCAAAUGUUUUGUGUUUGCAAGGAGAAAACUUGCCAACCGUUACAAUGGUUUUUGCUUGGCUUUUUAUAGCCAUUUACAUGAUUUUUAUAUUAUUUACUGUCUUUUCUUCAUCUACUCUGCAGGUGCAAGUGGAGGGCGGUGGAUGUGACGUGGAGGUGGCAGCAGAGGCGGUGGCUAGGCUCUGAC